GGGACGUUAAUUGUGACUAUAAAAGAAGUCUAAAUUUUUUAGCUCAUGAAGAAAAAUCUUGUCUCUGUGUCUAUCGUUAUUAAAGUAGAAUUGCAUCCUAAGGAAAAGAAGAAAUACACAGCCCACUUAGAGAAGACACCAUCUGUGCUACUCAACAGCUGGACCUGGAUCUUUUAACCACCCCUGUGGUGUCCAAAGAGACUUAAGAUAUACUUAUUGUUUCAUGUGAAUUUUUCACAUUUGAAAUAUAUGAAGUAGUGUGAGAGCUGUGUUGCAGCUCUAUACUGGUGAAUCCAAAAUAUAUUUGCCUGCUCUGGGAUGUCAUAUGGAAAUGUGGUACAAGCUGAAGGAAAAAAAUAUGUUGGGAUGAUAUCAAAUGGUUGACCAAGGAACAGCAGACCAAACUAGUACAUUCAGAGACAGGGCUGAGAAAACUGUGGAGAGAACUAUUUCUAAAGGAAAU